UCCGAACCCGGAAGCUAAGCCUCUCAGCGCCGAUGGUACUGCCCCGGAGACGGGGUGGGAGAGUAGGACGCCGCCGGAC
rnacentral:rRNA from 1 species